rnacentral:lncRNA from 10 species
GUAGAGAUGGGGUAUUGCUAUGUUGCCCAGGCUGGUCUCGAACUCCUGAGCUCACAUCAUCUGCCAGCCUUGGCCUCCCAAAGAGUUGAGAUUACAGGUGUGAGCCACCGGUGUCCGCCCUGAAGGACUUUUUCCACCAGCUCUAAAUGCAUGUGCUUUUGUGGUUGCAGUUUGGUACUAAGAAUGCCCUUAGAAACCAUGUGCUGAAGAUGGCAGUGCUUUUGUCAGCCUGGGUUCCUGAAUAACUGCAUGGAACAGAGCCUUUACCAUAUACCCCAACCCCAAACAAAGAACACCUUCAUUGGACUAUUACACAAAAUAAACAUGGCCAUUCUUGAUAGACAUGUUGACUGAUGGACUGAGAGAUAUAGAUACAUGCCAUGAGAUCUCUUUAUGAGUGGUCUUAUGGAUAUCUGCAUGACCUCUGCUGAAGUAAAAUACUGUGGUUCGUGAGAAGACGUGACCUUUGGAUACAGCUGGUCUAGUCCUGGCUCUGCUGUGUCAGUGAAAGUGGAACAGUUACAUGGCUCUCCCGAAUCUCUGUUUUCACUUGGUUAAAUGAGGGUUACAUGUACUUACUUCCAGUGUUGUUAUGAGAAUUAAAUGAGAUUAAAUGUUAAAAUUUGUGAGCGGUCAAUAUAUGUACUUCUUUUCUCCCCCUCAGUCUCUUAAGAAUAUUCUACACCAGUAUUGCAGAAUAAAGAAAAAUGGAUAUGUUAAUUUGUUUGAUAUAAUCAUUCCACAAUGUAUACAUAUAUCAGGUGGGGAGCAGUGGCUCAUGCCUGUAAUCCCAGCACUUUGGGAGGCCGAGGCAGGCAGAUCACUUGAGGCCAGAAGUUCGAGACCAGCCUGUCAACAUGGCAAAAACCUGUCUCUACUAAAAAAUUUAAAAAUU